rnacentral:rRNA from 1 species
AAGUUGCAGGGUAUAGACCCGAAACCCGGUGAUCUAGCCAUGGGCAGGUUGAAGGUUGGGUAACACUAACUGGAGGACCGAACCGACUAAUGUUGAAAAAUUAGCGGAUGACCUGUGGCUGGGGGUGAAAGGCCAAUCAAACCGGGAGAUAGCUGGUUCUCCCCGAAAGCUAUUUAGGUAGCGCCUCGUGAAUUCAUCUCCGGGGGUAGAGCACUGUUUCGGCUAGGGGGCCAUCCCGGCUUACCAACCCGAUGCAAACUGCGAAUACCGGAGAAUGUUAUCACGGGAGACACACGGCGGGUGCUAACGUCCGUCGUGAAGAGGGAAACAACCCAGACCGCCAGCUAAGGUCCCAAAGUCAUGGUUAAGUGGGAAACGAUGUGGGAAGGCCCAGACAGCCAGGAUGUUGGCUUAGAAGCAGCCAUCAUUUAAAGAAAGCGUAAUAGCUCACUGGUCGAGUCGGCCUGCGCGGAAGAUGUAACGGGGCUAAACCAUGCACCGAAGCUGCGGCAGCGAACGUAUCACCCAAGACAACUUUACGGAGUUGACGAUUGACGGAGCGAAGCGACGUCAAAGCGUUCAUUAAAGUCGAGUUGGCUUAGGGAUACGUUCGUUGGGUAGGGGAGCGUUCUGUAAGCCUGUGAAGGUGUGUCGUGAGGCAUGCUGGAGGUAUCAGAAGUGCGAAUGCUGACAUAAGUAACGAUAAAGCGGGUGAAAAGCCCGCUCGCCGGAAGACCAAGGGUUCCUGUCCAACGUUAAUCGGGGCAGGGUGAGUCGACCCCUAAGGCGAGGCCGAAAGGCGUAGUCGAUGGGAAACGGGUUAAUAUUCCCGUACUUGGUGUUACUGCGAAGGGGGGACGGAGAAGGCUAUGUUGGCCGGGCGACGGUUGUCCCGGUUUAAGCGUGUAGGUGUGUGUUCCAGGUAAAUCCGGUUCACUUUAACACUGAGGCGUGACGACGAGGCACUACGGUGCUGAAGCAACAAAUGCCCUGCUUCCAGGAAAAGCCUCUAAGCAUCAGGUAACAC